rnacentral:rRNA from 1 species
UACGGAAGGCAGCAGUGGGGAAUAUUGCACAAUGGGCGCAAGCCUGAUGCAGCCAUGCCGCGUGUAUGAAGAAGGCCUUCGGGUUGUAAAGUACUUUCAGCGGGGAGGAAGGCGAUGCGGUUAAUAACCGCGUCGAUUGACGUUACCCGCAGAAGAAGCACCGGCUAACUCCGUGCCAGCAGCCGCGGUAAUACGGAGGGUGCAAGCGUUAAUCGGAAUUACUGGGCGUAAAGCGCACGCAGGCGGUCUGUUAAGUCAGAUGUGAAAUCCCCGGGCUUAACCUGGGAACUGCAUUUUGAAACUGGCAGGCUUGAGUCUUGUAGAGGGGGUAGAAUUCCAGGUGUAGCGGUGAAAUGCGUAGAGAUCUGGAGGAAUACCGGUGGCGAAGGCGGCCCCUGGACAAAGACUGACGCUCAGGUGCGAAAGCGUGGGGAGCAAACAGGAUAGAUACC